UACAGAGGUCUCAAGCGUUGUUCGGAUUCAUUGGGCGUAAAGGGUGCGUAGGCGGCGCGGUAAGUCGGGUGUGAAAUCUUGGAGCUUAAUUCCGAAACUGCAUUCGAUACUGCCGUGCUUGAGGACUGGAGAGGAGACUGGAAUUUACGGUGUAGCGGUGAAAUGCGUAGAUAUCGUAAGGAAGACCAGUGGCGAAGGCGGGUCUCUGGACAGUUCCUGACGCUGAGGCACGAAGGCCAGGGGAGCAAACGGG
rnacentral:rRNA from 1 species